GAAGCUGACCAGACAGUCGCCGCUUCGUCGUCGUCCUCUUAGGGGGAGACGGGCGGAGGGGAGGAAAGUCCGGGCUCCAUAGGGCAAGGUGCCAGGUAACGCCUGGGGGGUGUCACAGCCCACGACCAGUGCAACAGAGAGCAAACCGCCGAUGGCCCGCGCAAGCGGGAUCAGGUAAGGGUGAAAGGGUGCGGUAAGAGCGCACCGCGCGGCUGGUAACAGUCCGCGGCACGGUAAACUCCACCCGGAGCAAGGCCAAAUAGGGGUUCAUAAGGUACGGCCCGUACUGAACCCGGGUAGGCUGCUUGAGUCAGUGAGCGAUUGCUGGCCUAGAUGAAUGACUGUCCACGACAGAACCCGGCUUAUCGGUCAGUUUCACUC
rnacentral:RNase_P_RNA from 1 species